GGCCGAGUGGUCUAGUGGUAAGACGUCCGUCUCUCAAUUAUCAGCCGGUUUUGGAUAGAUUCAAACUCGCCUUUGACAAUCCUCCGAGUUUGAGGUUGAGAACUGAUGGGAACCCCCAGUUCGAAUCUGGGCCUGGCCA
rnacentral:tRNA from 1 species